GUGGAUAGUGGUUCAAAUUCUCAUGCCCCAGACCGACCAACUCCAGGAGGACAUAUAACGCCGUGGACGUUGAAGUAAAUAGACUUUUCGCAAGCUAUGGAGCAGAAGCCAGCAUGAGACCUUUAAGUCGUCGUAGUCAUUCUACAAGACCUCGCAGUAGCUUCACAAGAGUUUUCUGCUGCUUAAGUAGAAUGACACAAAGUGUUGCACCAACAAAGUUUGAAAGGGAGGAAAGGGACUUGGAGAGAAAAAGGUUACAUUUUUUGGUGAUGAAAACAAUGCAGAAGAUUUAAAAAACUACAUUCUAGCAACAUAUCCAAAACUUGGUGACUGUGGGGGAUUUGAGAUUUUAAAAACAUCAGGCAUGACUCGAUCUAGGAAUCUGGUGGUGUUGCCUUGCCUAAACACAGGGUACACAAUUAAGACUCUAAAAGAAAAUAUGGGACAUGCUGUCAUCUACAAAUGUCCUAUGCAAAAAGACAUAGAACUGUCCAGUUCUGUUGUCUGUGAAUCUCCCAUGCUUGGGCCAAUGGAGAGAUUUAUUACCUGUGAAAAACAGUUCAAUUUCAAUGAAAUGAAAGUU